ensembl:lncRNA
CUGUUUUGUCCCCUCUUCGCUCUCCCCCUCCCCUCUCUCACGCUCUCACGCCCCUGCAGUGACGCAACGGCGUCCAACAGGAAGUUUACCAUAUAAGGACACUGACGUACUGGGAUUCCAUUUUUGAGCUGAAACUCAAAGUUCAUACAGAAGAGCAGAACUCAGCACAGAGCCUUAUGCCUACCACAGUCACGAUUACUAGACUAGUGAUUAGGACAGCUAAUACAUAGAGAAGAGUGGAGGCUGUUAUAGUUCCAUAUUAAUGCCCUGGUUUUGAAAUGGAAUGUCCAGCCAUCUCAUACUGCUGUGAUGGUCAGGUGUCCACAUACUUCUGGCUAUAUAAUGUAUUACACCAAGGGUAGACUACAGCUGCUUCCAGGCUCCAGUGAUGCUGUGCCAAGAGCAAAGCAUAGGGGGUGCAGUAAUAAUAUUCAGCCUGCUGCAGUGGAAGUUGUCUGACUCCCAGUACUGGGAGGGUCCCAGACCAGCUGGUCAAUUUAGACAUGAAACAUGGCGUUUAAGCAAAGAAUUAUGAAGAGGUAAGUAUCUGUUGCCAGCACGUUCCAGUAUUACCUUGUGCUGAAAUCAAUUAAAUGUCUUCCUGCAAGGAAAUGGACCUACCAAGGUGGAAUAAAUACACUUUUUGUACUAUGAGAAUUUGUUGCUGUAUUAAUGAGAUUCAAUUAAACCUGUAAUUAGAGUUUAAUAUUUGCAUUAUCCUUGGACUUGUAUGCCGUUAGAGCUCUUAUUGAUGUACUGUGCUUACUUCAUCUAGUUAGUAUUUACAUAAAUUGCCAUUUUCCAAAACAUUUGGUCACACCAGAAAAAAAGUGUUGGUGUGACCACCACUGUGAUAUGCCAAUUAUUUUCUAAUACUUCUAAACUGUCUAUGCAGCCAUGAGCAGCAGUAAUGCCAUUUUGUGAAAUGAUGUCUUAUAACUUGAUUUUACACAUGUUGUGUGUUUACUCAGACAUGUCUUUUCAACCAAAAUUGCCAAUGUUGAAAAACAAUAAAACAUCUGUCUAUUCUUAAUGGCUCUGCCUAUUUGGAUAAAGGAGAGAGUUUUUUAAGCGUAUUUGUUAGUGCUAUAUGGUGAUUUAUCAGAACUUGUUAACUUCUCAUUACAGGGAUACAGGCUACUCAGUACUGGAUUUCUGCACAGUAAGGGAACAGCAAAGAAAAACAGCUUGUGCUGUUGUGCAAUUAAGCAGUUUUGAAUUUGCUAUUUUCUGAUACAUACCGUCAUAUGCAAAUGUUCUGUUAGUGUUCUACUAUAUCUUCUACAGAGAACACACCUCUGCACAUUUUAGCACAGUUAUUGUUUAUUUGCUGAAUUUAAAAUGCUUUACUUCUUCC